rnacentral:rRNA from 1 species
GCUUGUCUCAAAGAUUAAGCCAUGCAUGUCUAAGUAUAAGCACCCUUAUACUGCGAAACUGCGUACAGCUCAUUAUAUCAGCAAUUAUUUAUUUGAAGGUCACCUAUUACAUGGAUAACCGUGGUAAUUCUAGAGCUAAUACAUGCGAAAAGUCGGCGCAAGUCGAUGUAUUUAUUAGAUUAAAAACCAAUGCCCUCUGGGCUCUCUGGUGAUUCAUGAUAACUUCUCGAAUCGCAUGGCCUUGCGCCGGCGAUGGUUCAUUCAAAUUUCUUCCCUAUCAACUUUCGAUGUUUGGGUAGUGGCCAAACAUGGUUGCAACGGGUAACGGAGGGUUAGGGCUCGACCCCGGAGAAGGAGCCUGAGAAACGGCUACUACAUCCAAGGAAGGCAGCAGG